GACGAACCGUGCGAACGUUGUUCGGAAUCACUGGGCUUAAAGGGCGCGUAGGCGGCUUAGCAAGUCAGGGGUGAAAUCUUUCGGCUUAACCGGAAAAGUGCCUUUGAUACUGCUGAGCUCGAGGAAGGUAGGGGCAGAUGGAACUGUUGGUGGAGCGGUGAAAUGUGUUGAUAUCAACAGGAACGCCGGUGGCGAAAGCGAUCUGCUGGACCUUAUCUGACGCUGAGGCGCGAAAGCCAGGGGAGCAAACGGG
rnacentral:rRNA from 1 species